CACAAAAGAAACGUGUAUUGUCGCUAUUCUUGCAUAAAAAAACAUUACACGAUGACUAAAUGCAUUGUUUUCAUAUGUGAUGACUUGACGAUUCCGGUACAUUUUUUAUUUACCAUUCUUGUUGUUCUUGGAAACGGUAAACAUGUUUUAAAUAUCCAUAACCGGGGCACACAUAACAACAACGCUACUAAAAGCGUGAUUUGAAGGUUUUUGAUCAUCUUAUUUUUAUUUUUAGUUAUUACAAACGUUACAUUACACAUAAUUUUGCAUAUAACUAAUGAAUUUGAUAAACAGGAACACAAUAUAUUUUAAGAAUAACAACUUUACAUUCGAAUUAUUUUGAGUACGAACAAACAGAGUACGGAUGAGUACGAAGCUAGUGACUAGAUUUCGAGGUUUAUUAUAUGAAUUCUGCGAACAAUCAGGUUAAAACAAACCGACUGAUAGUAACAAUAAUCAUUGAUAUAAUACCUAAAAACGGGCAAUAGCACAAGUUACACGCGAUACUUAUUUAUUCACAGUUAUUUACAAUAACUGAACAGACGCUUUGUAAAGGGAGUAAACUCUAAGAGAAGCUAGUGCGUACAUUGAUGGGGCAGUACGUUUGGGGCUGAAAACUGAUAGAGCUAAACAUACUAUGGAUUACAUAGUGUCUAUAAUGCUACAAGAAGAGGUUAUUAUAGAAGAAACAAGAUGCAGAUGCCAAAUAUCAGUCUGCGCAGAAAUACAUACAUACGUCCCUGGCAAAGCAUUUCAAAAAUAAAAACCAUGUAUUAACAGCACGUGAAUUGCGUUGUUUGCACACGAUUUUUCUCCCGUUUAUACAUGGGCGGAUCCAGUGAAAAAAGUAGUUUUUAUGCAAGAAUGGAUAUUAGGGCCACAUGAAAAAAUGUUAUCAUCAUCAAGCGAUAUUUGUCAUUUUUGUAUUGUAACCUGCUUGUUUCUCCUAUAUAGGUAUUUUGGUGACCUUUGUGUCACUUCUUAGAUUUUUAACAUUUUUUGUAUUUCAAUCUUAAUAAAUCAUUAUAAAUCAUUCUAAUAUGGCUAACAAUGCUUUAAUCAUCACAACGAUGUUAUGUUGACGUCACGUCAACGUGACAUUUAGCGCCAUGUACGCAUCAAGAAUUUCAUGAAAUAUUUUACUUAAUAACACGUUUUUAACGAAGUUCCACAUUGCACAAAUGUUUUGAUUAAUUUAUACACAUACUGAAUUAGUUAUUCGCUUUGCUGAAUAAUUCGCAAUAAUUUUCGCUUGAACUGAAUUCUGCCGCAAGACGUAUUACCGUUUCCGGUGCUGGUGUGUUUUAACAAAUACCUACUAUUGGCGCCAUGCUUGCGCGAAGAAACAGUUCCAUCAUAUUUGAUAUAAAUUUUACAAUAAAGAAGAUAUUAGAAUCAAAAUAAUUUAUAGAAAAGCAGUGCUUUAUCACUAUAUAUACACUCGGGCGGUUAACGUCGUCCGAAAUAAUUUCACUCGGGCUGCGCCCUCGUGAAAUUAUUACGCCCGACGUAUAACCGCCCAUCGUGUAUAAAUAGUGAUAAAGCACUGUUUUGCUAUAAAUUAUUUCUUAAUUGAAAGUCACGAAGUAAGUAUCUAAUUUCUGUCUCAUUACUUACUAUAUACAUAGUGUGUGUUUAAAAACGAGUAUAAUUUACUUAUCGUGGCAUAUCAAAUUAUCUAGGUAACUUUCGCGAAAAGAUCUUAUUAUACCAGUCCGUUAUUAUUUGGGUAUCUAUAGUUUACAAAGUAUCUAGUUAAGCCGACCAUAUUAUACCCGUAAGCUUUAUUUUUUUGUUUGGUUAUCUAGGAAUUGAAUUACAUAACUCGAAAAGUCGUCUGCUAGCGAAAAGUCUAAAAUUAGGGGAAAACUCCAGUUUAAUAUAGAGCUAACGUUCGGAAGUAAGGUAAACAUUUUCAAUGAUUACAUAACUAUGUCACAUAUUAUCGAUGUAAGAUUCGCGAACAAUAUAUACCAGGUUGAUUAAUAGUUAUUCGGAAAAAAUAAAAAAAAUCUUCUGAUGGAGAAGCGGGUACAUUUUUCAUCAAGCGAGCUGGAUAUUUGUUUUCUCAUUCUAACUGAUUUAAAUGAAUCUACUGUAAAGCAGAAACAGGUCAGUGAGAAUGGUAUAUUUGCAGAUAGCCUAUAAAAACUAAUAAAUUUACAUAUUUUUCAAUGUAUAUAUUUACAGAUUUGGUGUAUGUAAUCUGCUAAAGUUAUAUUUGUCUUCAAAAUGAUCGUUUAUGGCAUGCAUAAAUAAUAGGUUUACUGGUACUGAUGAUAAACCCGAACAGAAAAUGAGGUUUUUUACCUGUAACUUUUUUAUUUCUACAAGUUGAAAUCUAUGGUCGGUAUCAAAAUAAAGCUUAACCUUUGCUGAAAACUUUACAUAAUUCAAAUUUAUAUUUAGUAAGCAACUGACUCGCACGAAGUGAGGGCCUGAAAGGGGUAUGUAAAAAGGGGACUUUAUGAACGUUGACUGAUGAUAAAUUCGAACCCUUUGUCAUUUACAAAAUUUUCUUGGUAUUAUUAUAUUGAAACUUUCCCCAAAAAGCUGCAACAGUCAUUCCUGAUCAAGUAAUGAAAAGUUAACAAAUGUCAGGCCUUCAUGUUUCGACAGUGAGCAUGCGCAAAAAAACACUCUCUUCCCCAGUAAUUUUGGAUAAAUAAAUUUUAUACAAAUUUA